GCCUCUCUAGAAAACAGUGGUGGCUGGCUCUCGUUGAUCUUAACCCUUAGGGUCCCGGACAAGAAGGAGUGUGCCGGUGGUAUUCCUCUUCCUUGUGGACACGUUUGCCGACUCUGAUUCUCAUCCCUCACAUUUAUCAGAGAAACUAGAAAUCAAUCCCUUCAUCUCCCCGCAUCAAUCUAAGUCUGCGCUGCAACCAUCUCUUCCUUCCCUCCAAUUACAACAGCGGAUUGGUCCUUCGCAUUUUAAAGGAGCCCUCCACUGCCGGUCACUUUCCUUCCUACCUUCAUGGGAUCCUUACACUAUCAACUAAACUCCUGACUCUCCCACCACCAUCCCCAAAUAGUCCUUCAGUUUUUCUUUCUUAUUUUUUAACGCCUGACGUUUCCAUUUUAUCAUUUCCAACUCAUCUUUUAACUCAUUUCUCCUGUAGUAAAAAACAAUAAAUCAC